rnacentral:lncRNA from 1 species
GUGGUGCGUGCCGCUAAGUUGUGCGUUCCAGGGUGCACUCGCCGGCGAGGCUGCACGGCGCCGGUUUCAUUGCUAAAAUCCGACGGACUUGUUGCAGAACUCGUUUUUUUUGUCGGGAAAGGGCUUCCCCGUGUAACUUUACAGCAGUUAUCGUAGAUAAGACUUGCAAAUUACAGAUGUGGACGGUGAGGGAACGGGAAUUUCACUGAAAGCGCCUGAGAACCAGUAAGAGACCUGCAACAGCUUUGUGCUCCACUGGCGAAUGCUUCCUCCCCUAAUACACAUUAUGUGUGCUUGGAGACACAAGGAGUAAGAUACAGCCCCUCAAGGGACUCGUCAUAGGGAGAGGACACAGCUUUGGGAAUAAAGGGGCCACAAAGGAGGAGAGAGGAGUUUGCUGAAACUUCCCAAGCUCCCAUUCCAGCAGUUCCUGAAGGAUUCAUUUCUCUCUGAGGAUCUCAUGAGGUGGCUUAGCAGCUAGAAUCUCUUCCUUAACAGUGGGAAGAACAACUCCUGGAAAUUUAGGUCGACUUUGACUGGAUUUAAAAGAAAGCUGUACAAUUCCACUUCUGUAUAUACAACCAAAGGAAAUGAGAUGUGCAUACCCAUGUUCAAUGAAGCAUUAUUCACAAUAGCCAAAAUGUGGAACCAAUCCUUAAACAAAAGGAAAACAGAAAAUCUGCUCAAGGCACCUGAGAAAAUCACAACCCACACUUGCGAACCCCUAGGAGACCUAAAGCUGUGGUUUUACAAAUAAACAGAUAAGUAACAUUCCUACUCUUUCCUAUAGGUACUCAAUCUUCUUAACAACUCCCAUCCCACACAGGUUUGCAUCCCCAGCAGAUACAUAUGGCUAUGUGGUCACCCAUUCGAUCAGCCUAUAAAAGACUUGUCUUAUUUGAUAUUGUGAAACCCAUGGUUAUCAGUGUAUAUGAAAAUGUUUGGUUCAGGGGUCAAUGUACAAUAUGACAAGCAAAGUCCUCUAAUACACAGUUAUAUAAAAUCACUCACCUGAGAGCCAAGUGGACAAUUGGCCUUAUAUUGGCUGGAGUUGGAGCCCCAGAGGGAAAAUUUGCCUAUUAUUAGGCAACUCUUCAAAACUUUACUUAUUCGUUUCUAAACACUGUCUCAUAAAAUGGGGGAUGCUUUAGAUGAAUUAAGAUUAGCACUAGAUUACUUAUUCGUUGAAAAUUAGCACUAGAUUUCUUAUUGGUUGAACAAGGAGGAGUGUGCACCAUAAUCAAUAUAACCUGCUGCAGUUAUGUAAACACCUCAGGUCACAUAGAAGAAGAUAUACAGAAAAUACAUGAACAAGCUGUGUGGUUGCGUAAAUAUAACCAAGGCACCAAUCCCAACUGUAUCUGGUCAGCCAUUAGAAGCACCCUCCUGAGUCUCACUUGGUUGUUGCCCUUCCUAGGAACUUUGAUAGUUGUCUUAUUAUUAAUCUUUGGCCCUUGCUUGUUUAAAUUCUUGGUAAAGUUUGUGUUUUUUAGAUUACAACAAUUCCACAUAAAGAUGAUACUGACACAAAGCUUCCAAUCCAUCCCGUCUUCUGAACCGGGAAAUAAAGACACCCUGCCUUUAGGUGUCUUUAGAUCUAGAUCAGGCAUCUAGAGAUUUUUACUCCUCCAAUACUUGGCAGGGUCUAUGCCCGUAGACUCAUCAGGAUACCAUGUAAAUGAGGACCUCCCUUGGUACCCCAGAGGCCAACUGUAGACCCUUAUGAGAAAAUCCUGUCCCCAAAAUGAACAUCCACUGUCAGCAGGAAGAAGUUACAGAAGACCAGCCUUUGCCCUUACGAUUAAGGGUCCUCUUGUAAGUAGAGAGGGGAAUGUUAGGAAAGCAGGAGCCUAGGUGAUCCAGAGUGACACCAUUUUAAAAUAAACUCCACCUGAAAACUAGCAAGGCAUCUGCACACAUCUGUUUAGCAAGUAUAUACUUCUGUAACUGGAAUAAAAAGCGUUAUUUUAGAAUAUGCCUAUAGUUUGUAAUAAUUAGCCGAGGGAAAAAAAGUUCACAUUGGUGUAGGAAAAGUGCCCUAAUGGUCAUGGGUAAUAAUGGGACCGUGGUUCUGGUCAGUGAUUUGAUGGAAGGGGUGUAGAUAAUAUAUUGUUGUAAAUAAUAAAAAUAAAAAAUUGUUGUAAGUAAUAAAAAUAAAAUAAUAUUGUUGUAAGUAAUAAAGUAGGAGAAAUAUUUGGUCUUUUGCUUUUGGGUUAGUGCAACAGUAGUACCAUUACUUGGAGGAGAAGUUAGAGAAGGACAAGAAUAGGCUUGAAUAAGAUGAGUGAGAAGAGAGAAAAAUUCCGUAAGUGGAGAUGGCCAGGGAACACCAGGGCAGCAGAAUCUAACUCUGAAUUUAAUGCUGUUGUCUGUUCAUAUUGCACUGCGCUGUAAUCUCCCUAUCUUUCCUAAACCAUUGGCAAAGUCUGCUAUCCACUGGGGCCUUGGGUCGGUGGUGCUUUGGGAAAUACCAGAAGAGGGAAAGUACGGCAAAUGUGCAGUGUCACAGAUGAUAGGAGGAAAGCUGGCCAGUGGGAUGAUUAAAACAAUUUCGGUGGGAGUGGGAAUUCAGACCAUGUAAAUGGUCUGAAUUAAGAAAAUUUCAAGAAACAAAAAAUGUUUCUAAUGAGCCAAAGUGAAAGCUCUUCAUGAUUUCUUUAUAGAGGCUCUCUAGUGCUUGUCCUAAUUUCCUGAAAUCUCAUGGGUAUCUUACUCUCCUGGUGCCCGCCUCAAACAUUCACUGUAGCAAUUAUAUGAGCAGCCUAGAGAAUCCCAAUCCCAGUGGUCUUGCUCCCUGGAUCUACUUUCUCUUAAAAAUCAUUCCCCUAAGUUUCCGUCACUUGGUUGAAGUUUAGUAGAUAUCUCCACAUCUCCAGCUAGAACAGCACCAGAAUUUCAGGACUAGGGCAAUAGAGUCUGAUAUUAAAUUCUAUUUCUAUCUAUCUAUCUAUCAUCUAUCUAUCUAUCUAUCUAUCUAUCUAUCUAUCUAUCUAUCUAUCUACAGAACAAUUUGUGGGAUAGUAGCUUUGGGGUCCCAGAUCUAGGAUGGGCCUGGUCCUCCAUGCUGGUUCUCCUGGGUGAUAUUUCUGUUAGUUUGAACAGUAAUCACACUUUUAUUACUGUUUCAUCUUUUUUUUUUCACUCUUAGACUGAUUUUAUCAUGUGUAUAAAACAUACACACACCUACAUCUCAAGGAUAAACAUUAAUCCUUGAAAAAUAUGUGGUCUAAAACUAUAUUGAGGAGAGAAAGAUAGGACACUUUAAUUGCCACAUGAUUAACACGAGGUCACCACACAGCUUUCACAAAUCUACAAGUCAUUCUAUUUAGGCUGAGUCAAGUUCUCCCUUGGGCCAGCCAGAGCACAAAUAAUGGAGCAAUGUGACUCUUCAAUGACAGAUCUCUGAUUUCCAGAAAAGAGACUUUGAAAUACCCAAUUCUAGUAAAUAUGCAAUUAAAUUUCCAGCUAAAUGACCUUUGCUCCUGUAGUCUUCAUCUUGGGGAAGGGAAAGAAGUCUUAUUCUGUUUAAUAGUUUGAUUUUUAUAAUAGGGUUUGUCUCUGUUAUAAAUCUUGUUUGAUAUUUAAAAUGUUAGCUAAGAGAAAACUUCUGUUUGUUUUUAUUUAGUGGGAAGAAACUAACCCUCAUUGAGUGCCUAGUUAACAUCAGGCACUUUGUACACAUAAUCAAUUGAAUCUUGACCACAACCCUGUGAGAUCCAUGGAUGAUUCUGGGUUUAGUUCUUUGUGAGACUGCCAGAAACUCCCAGAGGCUGGAUCUAUGCAUAAAGAGAGGCCAUUGGAGAGAAUGUCUACUGAAUUGCUGAAGACAAUUGCUACCGAGAAUAGAUCGUAACUUAGGAAGAAACAAUUCAGUACCAAAAGAGUAAUUGGAGCCCUUCUGGAAAACACUAGUAAGGUGAAAAAUGAGAAGAUUAAAUAAGCCAUGGGAAGAUUUUUUAAAAUGACAUGAAACUCCAAGGGUAAAAAGUAGGAUGUUCAACAUGAUCAAUGCCAAAUAAAUAUCAGAAUACUUGGAAGUAAAGUACUAAUAGUAGGAGUUCCUGAUUAUCAGGUGCCUAUGAUGUGACAGGCACAUUGUGGCCUGUGCUCGACCAGGAGACUGGUGAGUCCUUGUGGAUUUCUUCCCUGCUCAAGUGCAUAAAGCAGGUGUAUUGCAUAGCUUUUCCAGGCUGAGAUCAAAGACGGAGAUGUGCCUACCCGCAGAUCCUAGAUGGCCAUGUUUGCAACAGAGGUAAUGAUGAGCAGUGCGAAGAUGUGACUCCAAAGCCUGGAGAAGGACAGACCAGCAUCCCUGCAAGAGAUCCAACUGUCUUCUUUUCCGCAGAGGUCCAUAAUUUACAUGGGCCUGACAAAGAAUACUGUAACUUGCAGAAAUUAUCUUCAGUUCAAAUCCUUCAUUUUGGGGGUUAAAUAACUUGCCCAAGAUGUCGAGGGAGCGGAAAUACUUGCUGGUCUUGCAGCGGCUGUGGAGCCUGGAAUCCUGCCAAGAAGAGCAUGUGUGAGAGAUCAAAAUGUUUGCUUACAUUCCUCCUGUGAAGGGAGUUGGGAAAUAACCUAAGAAGCCCAAUCCAAAAACAAAGAUGUACCAUCCAGUCUUCUCUGUGAGAACCAAACUACAAACCAUCUGAAUGUUCCAAAAGUGUUUUGAUGAUGUAUUGAUGUAUUUUAAAUUAUCCUGAAAAUGUUCUUGGCAGAUGCUUAAACAUGUAAUUACUGAGAUGAUGUAGAAAUACCAAGUGUUUAUUAAAACAAUACAGAGUAAUACAAAUGGUAUGUUUGUCGCAAUAUAAAAGUAUCUAAAAAUUAAAGAGUUCUUUAAUGGUGGAGAUUGUUUUCCUUUUUGAAGUUAAAAUAUAAAUUUUUGUAAAAAGCACAAAUUAUUACUAUUUAUAGCUAACAUUUAUGGAGUGCUGACUAUGCUCAUUUUUGAGCAUACAUUGCCUCAUUUAGUGCAAUGUUUAGCAUUAACUUAUGAGGUAAAUGCCAUUGCCAUGCACAUUGUACAGAUGAAGACAUUGAGGUUUAGAGAGAUUGCAU